GACGAACGCUGGCGGCGUGCUUAACACAUGCAAGUCGAACGAAGAGCGAUGGAAGCUUGCUUCUAUCAAUCUUAGUGGCGAACGGGUGAGUAACGCGUAAUCAACCUGCCCUUCAGAGGGGGACAACAGUUGGAAACGACUGCUAAUACCGCAUACGAUCUAACCUCGGCAUCGAGGAUGGAUGAAAGGUGGCCUCUAUUUAUAAGCUAUCACUGAAGGAGGGGAUUGCGUCUGAUUAGCUAGUUGGAGGGGUAACGGCCCACCAAGGCGAUGAUCAGUAGCCGGUCUGAGAGGAUGAACGGCCACAUUGGGACUGAGACACGGCCCAGACUCCUACGGGAGGCAGCAGUGGGGAAUCUUCCGCAAUGGACGAAAGUCUGACGGAGCAACGCCGCGUGAGUGAUGACGGCCUUCGGGUUGUAAAGCUCUGUUAAUCGGGACGAAAGGCCUUCUCGCGAAUAGUUAGAAGGAUUGACGGUACCGGAAUAGAAAGCCACGGCUAACUACGUG
rnacentral:rRNA from 1 species